AACGUAGGUGGCGAGCGUUAUCCGGAUUUACUGGGCGUAAAGCGUGCGCAGGCGGUUAUGCAAGACAGAGGUGAAAUCCCCGGGCUCAACCUGGGAACUGCCUUUGUGACUGCAUAGCUAGAGUACGGUAGAGGGGGAUGGAAUUCCGCGUGUAGCAGUGAAAUGCGUAGAUAUGCGGAGGAACACCGAUGGCGAAGGCAAUCCCCUGGACCUGUACUGACGCUCAUGCACGAAAGCGUGGGGAGCAAACAGG
rnacentral:rRNA from 1 species